rnacentral:rRNA from 1 species
UACGGGGGGGGCAAGCGUUGCUCGGAAUCACUGGGCGUAAAGCGCACGUAGGCGGAUUGCUAAGUCAGGGGUGAAAUCCUGGAGCUCAACUCCAGAACUGCCUUUGAUACUGGCGAUCUCGAGUCCGGGAGAGGUGAGUGGAACUGCGAGUGUAGAGGUGAAAUUCGUAGAUAUUCGCAAGAACACCAGUGGCGAAGGCGGCUCACUGGCCCGGUACUGACGCUGAGGUGCGAAAGCGUGGGGAGCAAACAGGG